GUGCUUUCUUUGGCAGCACAUAUACUAUAAUUAGAAUGCUACAGAGAAUAUUAGCAUGGUCCCUGUACAAGGAUGACAUGCAAAUUCAUGAAGUAUUUCACAUUUUU